AGUCGAACGAGCGAGAGAGAGCUUGCUUUCUCGAACGAGUGGCGAACGGGUGAGUAACGCGUGAGGAACCUGCCUCAAAGAGGGGGACAACAGUUGGAAACGACUGCUAAUACCGCAUAAGCCCACGGGUCGGCAUCGACCAGAGGGAAAAGGAGAAAUCCGCUUUGAGAUGGCCUCGCGUCCGAUUAGCUAGUUGGUGAGGUAACGGCCCACCAAGGCAACGAUCGGUAGCCGGACUGAGAGGUUGAACGGCCACAUUGGGACUGAGACACGGCCCAGACUCCUACGGGAGGCAGCAGUGGGGAAUAUUGCACAAUGGGGGAAACCCUGAUGCAGCGACGCCGCGUGGAGGAAGAAGGUCUUCGGAUUGUAAACUCCUGUUGUUGAGGAAGAUAAUGACGGUACUCAACAAGGAAGUGACGGCUAACUACGUGCCAGCAGCCGCGGUAAAACGUAGGUCACAAGCGUUGUCCGGAAUUACUGGGUGUAAAGGGAGCGCAGGCGGGAAGACAAGUUGGAAGUGAAAUCCAUGGGCUCAACCCAUGAACUGCUUUCAAAACUGUUUUUCUUGAGUAGUGCAGAGGUAGGCGGAAUUCCCGGUGUAGCGGUGGAAUGCGUAGAUAUCGGGAGGAACACCAGUGGCGAAAGCGGCCUACUGGGCACCAACUGACGCUGAGGCUCGAAAGUGUGGGUAGCAAACAGGAUUAGAUACCCUGGUAGUCCACACCGUAAACGAUGAUUACUAGGUGUUGGAGGAUUGACCCCUUCAGUGCCGCA
rnacentral:rRNA from 1 species